CACAGGUCGCAGAAUAUGGUAAAUUGUGCCCUAAAUGGUAUAAGGCUCCAUUGAUAGAGAAAUAGAGAAGAUUUUGUUUUGAAGAAUCCAUAGUGAGAUACUUCCAGGGAAGUGUGAACAACUUUGCAAGAAAUAAAUAGAGGAGAACUUGAAAAGGAUUGCUCCUCUCACAUGGACCACACCAAGUACUCUUCCUAGGAGAAUGAAACAUCACUUAGGAGACUGAAUUGAGAUGGAUUGAGAAUUCACUUUAUUAGAAGAAACACCUUCAUUUUUCUCAUUAGUAUAUCUAACUAGACGGUGCUAUGCAGUCAUGAUCAUAUUCAUCUAGAUCUCACAUCUUUGCAAUUCAGGACCAAUGGGAUGCAUAAAUAUUACAUGAAUGUGUUCUAGUGAUAACUAUAAAGAAACACAAAU